UACGUAGGGUGCGAGCGUUGUCCGGAAUUAUUGGGCGUAAAGGGCUCGUAGGCGGUUUGUCGCGUCGGGAGUGAAAUCCACUGGCUUAACUGGUGGCUUGCUUUCGAUACGGGCAGACUGGAGGUAUGCAGGGGAGAACGGAAUUCCUGGUGUAGCGGUGAAAUGCGCAGAUAUCAGGAGGAACACCAGCGGCGAAGGCGGCGCUCUGGGCCGGAACUGACGCUGAGGAGCGAAAGCGUGGGGAGCGAACAGG
rnacentral:rRNA from 1 species